rnacentral:rRNA from 1 species
UUGAAUACUGAUGUGAAAUCCCCGGGCUCAACCUGGGAACUGCAUCUGAUACUGGCAAGCUUGAGUCUCGUAGAGGGGGGUAGAAUUCCAGGUGUAGCGGUGAAAUGCGUAGAGAUCUGGAGGAAUACCGGUGGCGAAGGCGGCCCCCUGGACGAAGACUGACGCUCAGGUGCGAAAGCGUGGGGAGCAAACAGGAUUAGAUACCCUGGUAGUCCACGCCGUAAACGAUGUCGACUUGGAGGUUGUGCCCUUGAGGCGUGGCUUCCGGAGCUAACGCGUUAAGUCGACCGCCUGGGGAGUACGGCCGCAAGGUUAAAACUCAAAUGAAUUGACGGGGGCCCGCACAAGCGGUGGAGCAUGUGGUUUAAUUCGAUGCAACGCGAAGAACCUUACCUGGUCUUGACAUCCACAGAACUUUCCAGAGAUGGAUUGGUGCCUUCGGGAACUGUGAGACAGGUGCUGCAUGGCUGUCGUCAGCUCGUGUUGUGAAAUGUUGGGUUAAGUCCCGCAACGAGCGCAACCCUUAUCCUUUGUUGCCAGCGGUCCGGCCGGGAACUCAAAGGAGACUGCCAGUGAUAAACUGGAGGAAGGUGGGGAUGACGUCAAGUCAUCCUGGCCGAUCACACAAGGACUACGCACCCCCACAACUGCCCACACCAAUACGCAGCACCCGAAGCGCCACAG